rnacentral:rRNA from 1 species
GACGGAAGGUGCAAGCGUUGCUCGGAAUCACUGGGCGUAAAGCGCACGUAGGCGGAUUGCUAAGUCAGGGGUGAAAUCCUGGAGCUCAACUCCAGAACUGCCUUUGAUACUGGCGAUCUCGAGUCCGGGAGAGGUGAGUGGAACUGCGAGUGUAGAGGUGAAAUUCGUAGAUAUUCGCAAGAACACCAGUGGCGAAGGCGGCUCACUGGCCCGGUACUGACGCUGAGGUGCGAAAGCGUGGGGAGCAAACAGG